rnacentral:tRNA from 1 species
CAAUAGCUCCAAGUUCAACUCUCGGAGUCCACA